rnacentral:rRNA from 1 species
GGACCCGCACAAGUAGUGGAGCAUGUGGUUUAAUUCGAAGAUACGCGCAGAACCUUACCAACACUUGACAUGUUCGUCGCGACUUUAAGAGAUUAAAGUUUUCGGUUCGGCCGGACGAAACACAGGUGCUGCAUGGCUGUCGUCAGCUCGUGUCGUGAGAUGUUGGGUUAAGUCCCGCAACGAGCGCAACCCUCACUUUUAGUUGCCAUCAUUUAGUUGGGCACUCUGAAAGAACUGCCAGUGAUAAGCUGGAGGAAGGUGGGGAUGACGUCAAGUCCUCAUGGCCCUUACGUGUUGGGCUACACACGUGCUACAAUGGUAUCUACAACAGGAAGCAAAACAGCGAUGUUAAGCAAAUCCUUAAAAGAUACCUCAGUUCGGAUUGCACUCUGCAACUCGAGUGCAUG